rnacentral:rRNA from 1 species
GAUGAACGCUGGCGGCGUGCUUAACACAUGCAAGUCGAACGGGAAAUCCAUUUCGGUGGAUGGAGAGUGGCGCACGGGUGAGUAACACGUAGCUCAUCUGCCCUCAAGCGGGGGAUAACGGUUCGAAAGGACUGCUAAGACCCCAUAAGCUCACGGGAAGUAGCACACGGUGAGAAAAGCUGAGGCGCUUGAGGAGGAGGCUGCGGCCCAUCAGGUAGUUGGUGCGGUAACGGCGCACCAAGCCGACGACGGGUAGGGGGCCUGAGAGGGUGAUCCCCCACACUGGGACUGAGACACGGCCCAGACUCCUACGGGAGGCAGCAGUGAGGAAUAUUGGUCAAUGGGCGCAAGCCUGAACCAGCGACGCCGCGUGGGCGAUGAAGGUCUUCGGAUCGUAAAG